GGUUGUGGCUCAGUGGUAGAGUGCUUGCCUAUACUGCAUGAGGCCCUGGAUUCGAUCCCCGGCACCA
rnacentral:tRNA from 1 species